rnacentral:lncRNA from 1 species
AAAGAAGUAGAAGGAUCACAAAAUUUCUUCAGCUAAUAACCAAAAAUCUGAUUCAAAUGACUUGCUGGUGUGAAACCUUCGAUUUUCUUUCCUAAUUUUCUCAAGCGGGUCUUUCUUUUUUCUUCUUUAUUUUUAUGUUUACGAGAUCAAAUCAAAUUGUUGUUUCUUUGAAGUUUAAACCUUUAUAUACUUCUAACUAGUAGGGUGUGGGCCUUCAUUAUCC